rnacentral:rRNA from 1 species
UACGUAGGGUGCGAGCGUUAAUCGGAAUUACUGGGCGUAAAGGGCGCGUAGGCGGCCUUCUAAGUCGAACGUGAAAUCCCCGGGCUCAACCCGGGAACUGCGUCCGAUACUGGAAGGCUUGAAUCCGGGAGAGGAAUGCGGAAUUCCAGGUGUAGCGGUGAAAUGCGUAGAUAUCUGGAGGAACACCGGUGGCGAAGGCGGCAUUCUGGACUGCAACUGACACUGAAAGACGAAAGCCAGGGGAGCAAACGGG